rnacentral:rRNA from 1 species
GUCUACGGCCAUUCCGCCCUGAACAAGCUCCAUCCCAUCUGAUCUCGGAAGCUAAGCAGGGUUGGGCCUGAUUAGUACUUGGAUGAGAGACCACCUAGGAAGACCAGGUUGCUGUAGAUG